rnacentral:lncRNA from 10 species
CUGUGGGAAGCCACAUUAAAACAUUCAGUGGAGAUGGUAACUUAAUGACUUCCUUUGGGUUGGCUCUUUUAGGGAGGGACAUUGCUUGGGCCUCCAGACUCUGUGGUUGAUGUGGGGAGUACAGAAGUCACAGAAGAAAUCUUUCUGGAGUACCUCUCCUCCCUGGGGGAGUCCCUGUUCCGAGGUGAGGCCUACAACCUCUUUGAACACAAUUGUAACACCUUCAGCAACGAAGUGGCACAGUUCCUGACUGGGCGGAAGAUUCCUUCUUACAUCACAGACCUGCCCUCUGAAGUUCUCUCCACCACAGUCUUCAACAGAUGUUUUCUUCAAGAACACUCUGCAGCCCGUUCUGUCCUGAUGUGCCCCAAGCCUUGGAAGAGCCUUGCAGGCCAUCAUCCAGGCAGUAUACCCCGAAAGGACACAACACCCCCAAAGCCAUCUCACCUCCUCCCUCUUGUCGUUGAUUGCAUUCAGGCAGCCUCUGCUCAUUCCAGGACCAUGUCUAUUUGCUUAUUCUGACUCAGUUUCUCCUGAACUAUGGCCUUAUUUAACAGAGAUCCUGGCAGGUUUCGCAGGCCCAGCAAGGUGGGCUGUUUUUUAUAUCUGAGGAAGCACCUCCCAGGAAGAGCUUGCAUAGGAAACAAGACUGCUGUGGCAGGCUGGUGAGGAGCCCCAGUCCGCCAGCCCUGGCCCUGCCUUCCUAUCAUUCGAUGAGUUUGCAGUCCCACAGCUCUGCUGAGGGAUCUAGGUUAUGGGGCCCUGAGCAAACUGGAGUAGCCAGAAUGUGCUUGCUGUUAUUAUUUUAUGGGUGGAGUUCCUGGAAUUGUCUGAAUUAGGUUUGAUAUUUCUAGGUUUCAUCUGUCUAUACUUUGGAGUACUUCAUUCCUUUAAACUUGGAGAUGAUUUUCAAAAAUGGCAGUAUCCACUGAAGAAAAAGCCAGUGACUUAAAAGUUUCUGGGCAACCUUAUUUAUGGUUGUCGUAAUCAUGGAAAAUCUCCAAACUCCAGUAUUUGUAGUUUUUUUUCCAUCUGUUACUAUGAGAGCAACCUAGGAGCCCUUUAGAAAGGCAUUAAUGGCUGGGCCC